AUUGAACGCUGGCGGCAGGCCUAACACAUGCAAGUCGAGCGAGCGGCGGACGGGUGAGUAAUGUCUGGGAAACUGCCUGAUGGAGGGGGAUAACUACUGGAAACGGUAGCUAAUACCGCAUACCAUCAGAUGUGCCCAGAUGGGAUUAGCUAGUAGGUGGGGUAACGGCUCACCUAGGCGACGAUCCCUAGCUGGUCUGAGAGGAUGACCAGCCCCACUGGACCUAGGACACGUUCCAGACUCCUCCGGGAGGGAGAAGUGGGGAAUAUGGCACAAUGGGGGCAAGCCUGAUGCAGCCAUGCCGCGUGUGUGAAGAGGGCCUUCGGGUUGUAAAGCACUUUCAGCGGGGAGGCGUUACCCGCAGAAGAAGCACCGGCUAACUCCGUGCCAGCCGCCGCGGUAAUUC
rnacentral:rRNA from 1 species